CCUACGGGGGGCAGCAGUGGGGAAUUUUGGACAAUGGGCGCAAGCCUGAUCCAGCCAUUCCGCGUGCAGGAUGAAGGCCCUCGGGUUGUAAACUGCUUUUGGACGGAACGAAAAGGCGCCGGUUAAUACCUGGCGCUCAUGACGGUACCUCCAGAAGAAGCCCCGGCUAACUACGUGCCAGCAGCCGCGGUAAUACGUAGGGGGCAAGCGUUGUCCGGAUUUAUUGGGCGUAAAGCGCGUGUAGGCGGCAGGAAAGUCAGUGGUGAAAUCUCCGGGCUUAACUCGGAAAUUGCCGUUGAUACUCUCUGUCUUGAAUUCUGUGGAGGUGAGCGGAAUAUGUCAUGUAGCGGUGAAAUGCUUAGAUAUGACAUAGAACACCAAUUGCGAAGGCAGCUCACUACACAGCGAUUGACGCUGAGGCACGAAAGCGUGGGGAUCAA
rnacentral:rRNA from 1 species